GCGCGCGGCCCGCUGCCUCUCUCCUCCCCCGGGAGGCGGAGGGGACCCUAUCUCGGGCCGCCGCGCCUAGGCCCGUGGACAGCCUGCGGCAGGGGCAUGGCAGCUCCCAACGGCGGCGAGCCUGCGAGAGAUGAGGAAAGUCAGGAAGAUGCAAAUGAGGCCCAGAAAGUUUUGUGCUGAGAUUUGAAGGAGAAGGAAAAGAAGGCGAAAUGCUUACCCUUAGAGGAACAGCAGCAACAGAGCAAGUCUGAAGGAAGGGCAGGAGCCUGAAGUCCUGGUGGGCCUUGUGUUAGGUUUGGGGAAUGAUACUGGAAACAAGGCUGCCACCACUUCAAGACCAAAAUCACUGCCAAGUAUGAGAGGGGUAGAGUAAUGGUGUUUGCACUGUGUGGUCCCUGUAAACCGCUCCGCAGAUUGAAUGUCCUCAGCGUGUGGCUUCCCCACGAGGUGCUGAACUUUCCAGAAGGCUCACUAGGAAGCAGCCUCAGCAAUGCUUAGACUAGACUCCAUUACCAAGUCCAGCAGGAAGGUGCCGCUCAGCCCGCGGCAGAGGCUGACGGCCGCCAGCGACUCGGGGUCCCGGUUCACCGUGCCAGAGAAGAUGCAGCCGCGCAGCUCCCUCUCGCGCCCGGCCGCCCCGCCGG